AGCGCGCGGGCGUGAGGGGCGGGGCCAUAAAGCUGGCGUUGUAUGGGGCUGGCCCGAGCCCUUCAGCGUGUUCCUGCGCAGCCGCCUCCCGCCCUCUCGAGAGGCAAUUGUGCCAGUCAUUGGUCUGCAUUACUUCAUCACAGUGACCCCAUGAGAUGGUACUGUCCUUCCUAUUUUACAAGAAACAGCAAGAUGAAGUCACCCAAGGUCACCCAACUAGACAGAGAACUCAAAGUCAGUUGCCUAACUCCAGAAGUCAUACUAUCAUCCCCCACCACACUGACACAAGAAGAAAAUGAAUAACACCAUUUACUGGGCUAGACUACUGUGCUUAAUGCUUUACCUGCACUACCCCUUUCAUCCUCAACCUGUGAGGCUGGAAUCAUUACCUCCAUUUUAUAUAUUGUAACCUAAGACCCAAACAGGUCUUGUCUCAAGGCCAGUGUCCUGGAAUAUCUUGGAAACUCAGACUCUGGAGCCCUGAUUCCUGGUUGGAGUUGUGCUUCUCCUAAUGAGAUCUCUGGCAAGGAGGUGAUUAAUAAAGGCUUUCCUGUAGACCUAACAGUCCCACCCCAAGAGGAAAAGAUAAAGGCUGCAGCUUCUGUCCUACAUGUUGGCUGAGGUGCUAAGAAACAUACUGAGUCACCUAAUAGCAAGCCAAGCCCUUCGGAAAAUAAUGACAUCAUCUCCCAGGCUGUUGACCCUCCCAUAUGGUCUGACCCUAGGACUGGUGUUUUUCAGUAUUGGUGUCUGUCGUCCCCAUCUUAAUGAAUAGGCAUUGCUUGGCAGAGCCCCCAGAGAUCUCAAAGACCUUGCUCUGAUCUUC